ACGAACCGUGCGAACGUUAUUCGGAAUCACUGGGCUUAAAGCGCGUGUAGGCGGAUGGGAACGUCGGUUUCUGAAAGCCCCCGGCUCAACCGGGGAAGUGGGGCCGAAACGACCUGUCUGGAGGGACGUAGGGGGACCUGGAACUUCCGGUGGAGCGGUGAAAUGCGUUGAGAUCGGAAGGAACGCCCGUGGCGAAAGCGAGGUCCUGGACGUCUACUGACGCUGAGACGCGAAAGCUAGGGGAGCGAACGGGAUUAGAUACCCCGGUAGUCCUAGCCGUAAACGAUGGGCACUGGGUAGGGGGCUCGCCGAUGGGCUCCCUGCCGUAGGGAAACCGUGAAGUGCCCCGCCUGGGGAGUAUGGUCGCAAGGCUG
rnacentral:rRNA from 1 species